AGCUCUAGCCAUAAUUCCCUGAACACGCCUGAUCUUGGAUGCCAAGCAAGGUUAGCUCUGGUUAGUAUUUGAAUGGAAGAGCUACAGUUU
rnacentral:rRNA from 1 species